rnacentral:lncRNA from 1 species
GUACAUAUAUAUGUAUGUAUGUGUAUAUAUCUGCUUGCAGAUGUUGCCUGCGAUGAGGCAGUUCACAUCUUAACCAAUUGUAGAAUCACAUAUGUUAGGAUAGGAAAGGAUCUGUGACUACAGAACAAAUGUUACUGUCUAUUUACUUUUAUGUCCUCUCAGUUUUGGCAAGAGAACAGACCUGACUAUGUCAACAUCCAGCUGUACCUCAGUCAGACAGAUGGGCUACAGGUAUGUGAUUGGAUGCUAUUGUAAAUUAAACAAGCCUCUUGAGAAUAGAAGAUUUAUCACAGGGGCUGUGCUGGAAGACAAUUUCUGCAGGUGGUUUGAAGAGACAUUUCCCAGAAGAAGGUCUCUUUUGGAAUGUGUUCCACAGACCCGUGGUUUGCCCUUACAGUCAGCUGUACUCUGCCUUUUGCUUGUCCUCCUCUUCCCUGUCGCCUCAUCUAGAGAUGCACGCAAAAGCGGCCAGUCUUGUGGCUGCGUUCAUGGAGGGGAGGUUUUAUGUGGAGAGAGAAGAUAUAGGUCUUCACAAUUAAGCCCCUUUCUCUUGGAGGGAAACUGGAAAAAAAAACAAAAAAACAAAAAACCCAGCCGUCAUGCACUGUUUACUUAACUGCUGGAUACAGUGCUAAGCAUUUCCUCCACAUUAUCUCUUGUGAUUCCACCAGAUUCGAAAGGUAGAUGGUAUUGUGAUCCCCAAAUGAUAGAUGAAGAAACUGGUAUUUCUAUCGCUGAAGAGCUGCAGAACCGUAUCAACCUGGCAUGCAUGCUUUCACAAGUUUUAUUUUAACAUUUUGCCUCAUAUAUUUUCUAUCAUACUUUGAAUACAAAAUAUCAAUGCUUGUCAGUUACUUCCAAACAAAUCUAAGCCUAUUUUUUUAGUCAGAUGUCUACCCUACUUGGUAUGUAAAAAAUAUUUUAUUUUAUUCCUCUCAUGAAGCAAGUCAGUAUCAUUAUCCCUCACGGUUUCGCUGUAAUUAAGGUACGGAGCAUAAAUUACAUUUGGUGCUCAGUUUGUCUGCCUGGGAAUCAGACACUGUCUCCUCUCUUCUCACUCCACUCUGACUCUUUACCACCAAUUCAGAUCGAAUAUUCUGUUAAUUGCAAACAUCAGUCCAUUAGAAGUUGUUUCUUGAUAGAUCCCAAAUUUGGAGCUCUUCUAUUUUAGGCUGUCAUGUCUAGGAUCAUUUCCCCAAAUUUAUGGUGACAAUUUAUAGUGUUUUACUCACAUAAUGAACCAAAUGACAACUUUCAGUACAGAAAUGCCUCAGUGACGCUUAUGUGCUGUGCCCUGUUUGAGUAGGCAAUUAGAAUUGAUAUUCUCUAACUUUACAGUUACUUAAAAAUGAAGUGACUAAACUGAGGUCUAGGAAAAAUCAUCCAUUUGUAAUAAUGACAUUCAAGAAAAUAAUGGAUUUCAAAGGAAAAGAGGGAGGAAAUGAUGCUUCUAAAUGACUGUACUUAGAGGUUGCCAUUUGAUACUUAUAUUCUUUAUAUCAUAGCAAUUUGGUAGGAAGCCAGAGCACCAGCAAAGAUGAUGUUAGAGAAAUAGAUGAUUUGUCCAGCUCUAUGUCCUAUAAAAUAUAGUGCUUUCUUUUUGGCAGAAGAUAAUUGGAGAAAAAUAUCCUGCACUGAAUUCAAGACUUUUUAUUGGACGUCCUCGGUGGAAACUUCUGUUUGAUGAAAUAGCAAAAUGUAACAGAGGGAAAACAGUUGGCGUUUUUUGCUGUGGACCAAAUUCAAUUUCUAAGACGCUUCAUAAGCUAAGUAACCAAAACAAUUCAUAUGGGACAAGAUUUGAAUACAAUAAAGAAUCUUUCAGCUGAAAACCUUUGAGAUGAAGCAGGACUCUAAGGAAGGAAUGAGUGCAAUUUUUAAGCCUUUUUGAAAUGCAGCUGAAUCAAACAGCUGUGUCAUGCCAAAGAAUAGCAAGGCUUUCUUAUUUAUGAUUAUUUAAAAUGGAAAUGCAGAGAAUGUGGCAAGAUGACACAUCACAUUUUGUGUUUGAUCUGGAAACCAAAGAGGCCCUGAAGAAUAGUUGAUGUGAUUAUUCACUUUUCACUGCUCAAAUUAAAAGAAAACUAUUAGAUGCACACUGUUGAUUUUUACGGCAGAUUCAAGAACCCCUAGAGAGGAGCUGCACUUGCUCACUGUGAGGCUGAUAGCCUUGGUCCUCUUUAAAUUGUUUUUGGUUGAACAAAUGCAAGAUUGAACAAAAUUAAAAAUUCAUUGAAACGCAGAUUACAUUUUCUACGUGAGUAUAAACAGAGAAACUUUGAUUUAGAAAAGCUCCAGGCAAAUAUAUUAGAUGUUUGAAAAUACAGCACAGGACUCUGUAUUGAUACGGGUACUUUGUGUCAAUAUCUCAUCUUGCUCACUACUGAUGCUAAUACCCCUCUACUGGGUAUCUAUCGCUUUUAUGCACCAUGAACCUUGUGCAGAUGUUGAUACAUCUAUUUUUUAUAUAUUUCUUUCUUCUUUAUUCCUGUGUCGUGGGAAAUCUGCCCUCCCUUGGCAUGUGUUAGACACAGUGAUUCAAUCAGUCCUCAUCCCGAAUGUAUUUAAUCAAUUACUCUUGCUUUGUAAUGAGGAAAAUAUCAUUAUCCUAAAUUAUAAAGGGACAUAUAGACUAGUUGCUUUUUUCCUUUUUCAGCAUUUUGGCCUCUAUUAUUUUUAUUUACAAUUUUUUUCCCCAGUGCAGUUUAGCUUAGUGGUUGGCCUCUUAAGGUGCUUUUAGUUUGCACUUGGAAGACCCAACGGUGUUGUGUCUGUCAGUGGUCACUGACAUAUAAGUUCUCUCGCUUUUUGUCACACAUGGGGUUAUGCUGGAGGCAUUGAAAACGGAGUCACAUCUCUCUAGAGGAAACCUGUAUUUUACUUUUUACACAAGAGGAAAUACUUUAUUGGUCAUUGAAAUUUAUUUAAGUGUAGAAUCAAGAUUAUUAUUGUUGCACUGUCUUGUUAUUCUGGAUAAAGAAUUGCUGAGUUUCAGGUCCCUGUUGGGACUGUGUGAUCCUAUUGGUUUUCACUCCGGGGCCAUUAUAUUCUCAGCUCAGAGGAAAAAUCCACUUCACUACCUUUUAAGAAUUAAGGCAUUUUCUUUUUACAAUGUAGUGAUUUUCUUUUGUGGACAUCUAUCAACUAUCCAAUAUAGCACAUUGCUGGGAUCAGCAGCAUAGCUUGUCUUGCCUUUGUUAAAAUUGUGCAUGAUAUAACAUAACAUGAUAGAUGCACCUGUCAUUUUUUGCUCUGAUUCACCAAUAGCAAUGGAGCAUGUUAAACCAUCUAACAUUAAACGCCCAUAAACAUAUUACUUACAGCUAUUUCUUCCUUGCCCUGGAACUCUUUCUUCUUCUGUGGAAGGAAAGUGAGUCAGAAAAAGAUACGGGAAAUGUGCAAUGUUCCUGCAGAUUUAGCUCUGAAAGCAUAUUUAAUAACCAGUACAUCUUGGCAACCCUUUCUAAAAUAAAACAAUUUUUAUAAAAAACACAUAACAGAAAGAACUUAAAAAGGAACGAGUUAGUACAGGCUCGACAUGCAAUUUACUGACUCUUUACUAAUUAUAAUUUAUUAUGUGAUUAUACUAAUACACCUGAUUUCAGUAAAACUGGUGGAAGAUUUUUCCAGAAGAUUGAUCUUUCCAAGUAGCUUGGCUAUGCUAGAUGAGCCUCUGCUUAUUUUAAAUUCCAACUGAUGUUCAAACAUUCAGUGUUAACAUAGGCAAUUCUUGCUUCAGUAGGUAGGCAUGAAACGCAGACUUCAUCAUACGUGUGUAAGAGAGCUUUUUGUUUCGUUUGGAGGGAUUCUUUCUCCCGGGCUAAUUCUUGUCAGUCAGACAGUAAUUGUAAUGGCAAUAAAUGUUAAAAUUGAAAUGGUAGCCUUGAAAUCGCUAUAAACUUACUUUACAUUUGCAACAAAUAAAGCAGGCAGAGUUUCUUCAUAAGAUGACCCGAGUUUAAGAAACUUAUGUAACCUAUUCAAGUGUGCACCAGCAUGAGCAGACGUGGGGAUUGGGGUUCUGGACUGUCAGUGUUGCUGGCUAGUGGCGUGACUAUGGCAAAUUGCUUCUCUCUCUGGGAUUAAGAUUUCUCAUUUGGACUAGAUCAGUAGUUAUUAGUUCUUUUUAAAUAAUGUAUCUUUGUGAGAACCUGACCAAAAAUUAAUAUUAUGACACAUCUAUAAAAUAUUACACACAGUUUUGGGGAACCCACAAUCUCCAAAAGCAAAGACCCUUUUUUAAGAGCCUCUGAACAAAAUCAACAUCGCGAUAGAUUUUUUAAACCUGUGAUUUUUCUCUGAUUUUUUGGAAGAAACUCACUUUUAAUAGUAGGUUUAUACUAAAAAAUGAACUAUGUGGACAAAGGAAAGGAAAUUCUGUUUAUAUGUUCCCAAACAGAGAACCCAAUAGACUCUUCCAUUCAGUUUUUUGUUCAUUGGUUUGUUUUUUGGCCGCCCCAGCAGCCUAUGGAACAGUACAGCAGGUAAUGGAUUUAAACUAUAAGGCAUUGUCAGAGAGGCUUGCUGGAAGCAAAUAGGCCAGGGUUGUCUUCAAUAAAUAAUGUUGGUACUAAAGAAUGUUCAUUAUAUUUAAGAGAAAAAAACUUUAAGAAAAAAGUUUUUUUUUUUUCUUUCCCCAAUAAGGAUGGUUAACUCAGCUGAACAGUGAUUUUUCUAAACAAACAAUGACACCCAUUUGAAACUUCUGCUCAUGAUCAAUAAAUCCCUUUCCCUGUUCCUAUCCAGUUACAGAAACAUAAAAUGCUGAAGUUUGGAGUCCUCUUAUUUUACAGUUGAGGAAUCUGAGGCCCAAAGGGAGAUAGAAACUUCAAGUCAUCCACUGAGGUUGUCACGAUGUGGAAACUGGAGUCCAGCUUUUCUGAUCUCUGCUAUGAAAGUCACUUCCCCCCUCUCCCCGUGACAUAUACAUCUAAUAAGUCACAUCUCUUAGUCUGAAAUUCCCUUAUAAACUUUCUUUAGUGCUAGGUGGAAAAUAACACGGGAAUGUUAAUUCCAGAUUCAGAUACAGAAAACCACAGUCUUGGAGUCCCUGUCUUGGAUACUAGUGGGGAAAUGCACCCCACUAGUAUCCAUGAGAAUGUGGGUUUUGAUCCCUGGCUCCACUCAGUGGGUUGAAGAUCCGGUAUUGCCCCAGCUUCCACAUAGUUCACAGGCAAGGCUUGGAUCUGGCAUUGCUAUAGCUGUGAUGUAGGCUGGCAUCUACAGCUCCGAUUCGACCCCUAGCCUGGGAACUUCCGUAUGCUGCACUUGAGGCCCUAAAAAGGGAAAAAAGAAAAAAAAAUCAUCAUCUUUUUUCCUGUAUAUUUUCUGAUUCUAAAUUUGUUAGUCCGUUUUGCUUAUGAGAACCUAUCUCCAGAUAGCAGUUUUAAAAUCUGACAAUUGUGGUAGAGAGAUUAUGUCUUCUAGGAAGUUUUUAAGGAAAUAUACAUAAUACUAGAGUUUCUGGGAAAUGUUAAUGUUGUAAUUUUAAAUUUAAAUUCAUAGAAAUCCUAACCUCACCGGCUUUCUAACCACCCAGGGAAAUGUUGAUAUUAAAACAAACGACCCUUCUUCUCUACUGCGUGCCCCUAACAUGCUUCUUGUUCCGGAGAAGAGAGUCAGCUUUUUUGUAAACUCAUGAGACAGGAAAUAAAUGAAAUCAAGCAUAAUGAGACCAGCAUUUACUUCAACUCCCACAGAACCAUGAGACCACGCCGUUUCCUUCUGUCUAAAUCUCCCCUCCAUUACCUCAACGUCUUUAUUUCAUUCUGUAGUAUUCUCAAAGGACAGAGUUGCAAAAGCUGGCUAGAGGAGGUUUUCCAAAGAAAGAAGCAGAUUUCCACUACGUGACAAAGAAGGGUCCAUUAAGGCAGAAGAGAAAAAAGACCAUGCGAAUCACUUGAGGUCAGCAAGAGAGUUAAGCAAUGUUGUUUUGGAACAGACAUCAGUAAUUUUUUUUGAAGCGAGUAUACAGAAUUUUAGUUUCUCCCAUACAAACGUUUGAUGUUCAUAGAUUCUAAAAAAUAGAUUUUUUAAUUUUAUUAUAACACUGUAGCACUGUCCCUGGUCAUCUAAACGCAGUGUUAAAGCUACAGUGUAAGAACUGGUAAGGGCAAGACGUGCUUCAUGGGAGCAAAACCAGGAAGGAAAAAAGGGGAGUCAAAGAAAGAAACAUUACUGAACAGAUCAGGACACGUCAAGGCAUUUUUUUUAUAGCGGAGAUGAAAAUCCGCGGCAAUACUAGCUAGUCCUCUGCGUGGGGCAAAUGUGAAGAAUGUAGUGUUUGUUUUUAGGAAUCCUUUCACACUUUCACUGCUGCUAGAAUGUUAGCAGAAGCUUUACUUUUGAUCAGAAUUCUGUCUGGCUUCUGUAAGAAUUAGAGCUUUGAUGAGCUGCUGCUUGACCUAGAGACAAUCCCAACAUUUAGAUGAGAACCAGAACCACGGAAAUGUUCCAGUAUAUGUGGCCAUAAAGAGGGGGAGGCCGCCAUGCAUUGCUUCAACCGCAGAUGCUGAAUGUUGACGUUCCCUCAUUGCAAGGUCAUAUUUCUCAGCUCUUUUAUCCUUCCUCCCAGGGAAGGAAACCUUCCUAACUACACAGAUACUGAGGGAGAGAAUCUCUCUGGUGUAUCAUAACAGCUUCUCUGUUCACCUGUAUCAGCGCAUGCAUCUGAACCUAGUUAUCAUUUUUAGGAUGAUCAUAUAAUUCAUUUUAGUGGUGAGGGAUAUCCACAAGGCCUGCUUUAAAAAAAAAAAAAAAAAA